GAAAAAUUCUAGAGCUAAUACGUGCAACAAACCCCGACUUCUGGAAGGGACGCAUUUAUUAGAUAAAAGGUCGACGCGGGCUCUGCCCGUUGCUCUGAUGAUUCAUGAUAACUCGACGGAUCGCACAGCCAUCGUGCUGGCGGCGCAUCAUUCAAAUAUCUGCCCUAUCAACUUUCGAUGGUAGGAUAGUGGCCUACCAUGGUGGAGACGGGUUUGACACGGUGAU
rnacentral:rRNA from 1 species